UCACACAUUGAUCCAUAUCAAAAUCUCUUCCCCAACCCUGUUACGCCACAUCAGGAAGUGGAUUACGUGGGCCUGCCUCAAUACUGAAUUGACGGUGGUGAUGCUCCUUUGCGGUUGCGGCUGAAACAGGUGGCGGAUGUAGACCAAUUGCAGAGGCGCAGAUGGUCAUCUCCGCCAUGGCAGUUACCGGAUUUCACCUUGUCGCAUUUUCCUCCUCUCCCAAUGCUUUAUUCCCCCCACAGUCUCCAAUUUCAUCGAAAGAUGAUCAUCAUCAGCAGAAACAAGAGCAGAAACAGCUUCAGAGCUCUCUGUUUGGAUUCAAAACCUAUCGCAGAGACGCAGCUUUGCUCUCGUUCCUUGCUCUCAUUCCUGGUCUACAUCGUUCAUCCCCUGCAACUGCAUUGACAUUUGGCAUCUCUGGACCGAAGGAUUGGCUGAAAGGGCAAAAGAGGAAGGCUUCCAAGUUUCUCUUGGCACCUGUUGACGCCUCUCGUGAAAGCCUGCGCACUGCCUAUCUCUUAUUCACGGCGAGUGGUUCUAAUGAUCCGAACAAGGAUUUGGAAGAAGUUCAGAGGCUGCUUAAAUCUGCUGCUAGGGAUUGUGUUCCGCAAGAGAGGAAUUCUUUCGUUGCAUUUCAAGCUACUACAGGAGUGGAGGUUUGCACUUUCCGGUUAAUUUUGAAGAAUGCAGCUUCAUUACUUGAUGAUAAGGAUCCUGUAAAGUUGGAAGCUGAAGCUAUGCUAAAUGAUCUUAUAAGUUCUUUUACCUCCCUUGAUGAUGUGACCAAUGAAACUGAUAUGGAAUUUGCUUCUAAGAGACAAAAGGUGGCAGAUGCACUCAUGGACACCAUAUCUUCCCUUAAUAAAUUCGAGCAGGGUAUCAAGGACUGCCUUGAAGUUUGAUUUGUUAUGGCCUUCUUCCAGGACAAAAACAUUUGUGGAUAUUAUGCUUGAAUAUUUUUUCACAUGCUCUUAUCCAAAGGGUUCUUGAAGACAGUGGGAAUAGGAUGCACUCAAAAGUAGAUCCCACCAUUAUGUUGUGCAAUUUCUGUGGUGCUGCAAUUUUUUUACUCGUCUUAAUGAGACAAUGUGCUUGUGCUUGUGCUGCAUUGUGCCAGUUGCACUGUCACGUAUUCUUCCAUCUUACAUCUGACUGCAUUUCAGGCAUGGUUAAAGAAAGGUACAACUGUGAAUACCUGAUAUUGUGCUCAUGGAUGUCAUUUUUAGUUCCUCAUUCUCCUAGAUGUCCUGGACUACCCGGUUGGCAAAUGCAAAAUUAUAAGUUUGUAUGCUUUGGUUUAUGUCUCUUAAAAGCUAGAAUGUGCUACAACAGAGCGAAACAGAUUUGGUUGGAAGUUGUGGAUAGCUUCUACUAUUGUCUUCCAGAACUCCAUGCAGUUAUUGAUUAUUAGAUUAACUUACAAACUGAAUUUUUAUAGUUUUAUUUGAUAUCGACCAAGCUUUUUUAUUUUUAUUAUUUAUUUACUCACUGAGCAUCUCUGGCCAAGUUAUCUAAGCUGUAGGUUAUCAUAUUCUGCAUGCAGUUACCUUCCCUAAUGUGAUCAGAUUUUAAGUUGCUUAUGCUAUCUGAAUGGCAUCCAUUUUAUCUAUUUUAGAAAGUUUGAAAAAAGUUGAACCACCAUUAGGAAUGGUGAUUGUACUAUCAUGCAAUUUGAAUUUCCCACCUGUUCUUUUCUUUUCUUUUUUUACUUGCCUUUAGGCAUAUGAAAGGUUAUGAUUUGUCUGCAGGGCAAAUAAAACCCUGCAAGAGUAUGCCUUGGAAUCACGCUCCUCAUCCAGUAAUUCUUCUAUAAAUUGACCUCUUAGCAUAUGCAGUGAAAAGAAGAGGGGUAAUUGAAAUGCAAGGUAGUAAAACGUGCUGUUCCCUUUCUUUUUUCAGUUGUUCCCAGCUAAACUAGGUCAAGAUAGAGGAAAGAAAAAAAGUAUAACCAUGGAACUUUCUCCUUGUUUACUGUAUCAUAAAUAGAAGUUGGAAGCUGAAACAAAAUAUACUAGAAAAUUUUCCUUGGAAAAUCUAUGCUACCAAAUAUCUAGUGCACAACUUAAAUAUAAUCCAGAAGAUACUGGGCCUGCUUAGAGAAUCAUCAAACAGAUGAGAGGUCCUGUGAUUAUGUCAUUCGAACUUGUUUUGUAUUCCAACAGGCAACACUAACUAUCAAGGAUGCCCACAGCUACAAUAUAAUUGGAAAUUGAAUAGGUAUAGUAUCUAUGUCUAUGAAUGGUUGUCCAUCAAUGGGAUAGUUCACCUAGGUGAACCAGAAGCCUGCACCAAAUACAGGCGACGGCAUGGUGUUCCAUCAUCUGGGUGAGUUUGAACUGACCUAGGUAAGCUGCGGAGCUUGUUGAACAUAUUUAAUGGAUCAUGCAUGAGGCCAAAAUUUGCAUCUGGGUCACCAAUCUGUGAAAGCUUGACAUCAGAAAACCCUAAAGUUGGAAGUAGAUGAUCUGGCCAAUCACUGUAGAAGUGAAAGGUGGAAGUGGAAAGCAUGGUCGAUGAUUUGUUCAUAAAAUCUGCUAAGAGGACUGUGUGGGUAACACAACAAUUAUCUGCUAUCAUCUUCAGCACUUGCAUAGCUUGGGAAUGGGAAAGGUAGUAGAGGAUACCUUCUAGAACCCACACUGUAUUCUUCUCUCGCAGAAACCCUGAUUUCUGGAGCUUUUCGACCCAGUCAUGUUCUCUGAUGUCCGCUGCCACUCUGGUCAAGGAUUUUGCUGUCAUUCUCAGAUGCUGGUAUUCAUUUGUGGGUUCCAUUGCUGCUUGUAGGAGAGAUGUUUUGAUCUGCAAUACCUCUGGGAAAUCAACCUCAAAAACAUCACUUUCUUUGAGGCAGCUCAAACGGUAUGCCCUUGCAUCCAUUCCUACAUGUAAAAAAAGGAAAAAUACUCUUUCAAGUUUUGAUUUUGAUAUUUUAAUUGUACUUUAGAUUUCAUAAACUUUGGAAAUAAGAAAUAAUGAAUGCAACUGAAUCCUAUUGAGCAAAA